UUUUAUGGAGAGUUUGAUCCUGGCUCAGGAUGAACGCUGGCGGCGUGCCUAAUACAUGCAAGUCGAGCGAACGGACGAGAAGCUUGCUUCUCUGAUGUUAGCGGCGGACGGGUGAGUAACACGUGGAUAACCUACCUAUAAGACUGGGAUAACUUCGGGAAACCGGAGCUAAUACCGGAUAAUAUUUUGAACCGCAUGGUUCAAAAGUGAAAGACGGUCUUGCUGUCACUUAUAGAUGGAUCCGCGCUGCAUUAGCUAGUUGGUAAGGUAACGGCUUACCAAGGCAACGAUGCAUAGCCGACCUGAGAGGGUGAUCGGCCACACUGGAACUGAGACACGGUCCA
rnacentral:rRNA from 1 species